rnacentral:rRNA from 1 species
GACGAACGCUGGCGGCGUGCCUAAUACAUGCAAGUCGAACGAGAGCAACCGGUGCUUGCCCUGGUCAAUCUAGUGGCGAACGGGUGAGUAACACGUGGGUAACCUGCCCAUCAGAGGGGGAUAACAUCCGGAAACGGAUGCUAAAACCGCAUAGGUCUUCGAACCGCAUGGUUUGAAGAGGAAAAGAGGCGCAAGCUUCUGCUGAUGGAUGGACCCGCGGUGCAUUAGCUAGUUGGUGAGGUAACGGCUCACCAAGGCCGUGAUGCAUAGCCGACCUGAGAGGGUGAUCGGCCACAUUGGGACUGAGACACGGCCCAAACUCCUACGGGAGGCAGCAGUAGGGAAUCUUCCGCAAUGGACGCAAGUCUGACGGAGCAACGCCGCGUGAGUGAAGAAGGUUUUCGGAUCGUAAAACUCUGUUGUUAGAGAAGAACAAGUGCUAGAGUAACUGUUAGCGCCUUGACGGUAGCUAACCAGAAAGCCACGGCUAACUACGUG